UGGGGGAUAUUGCACAAUGGGCGAAAGCCUGAUGCAGCGACGCCGCGUGGGGGAUGAAGGCCUUCGGGUUGUAAACCUCUUUCGCUGGGUUGAAAGGCCAUGCUUUGGGUGUGGUUGAUUUGAACUGGUAAAGAAGUACCGGCUAACUACGUGCCAGCAGCCGCGGUAAUACGUAGGGUACUAGCGUUGUCCGGAUUUAUUGGGCGUAAAGGGCUUGUAGGUGGUUUGUCGCGUCUGUCGUGAAAUCCUGUGGCUUAACCAUGGGCUUGCGGUGGGUACGGGCAGGCUUGAGUGCGGUAGGGGAGACUGGAAUUCCUGGUGUAGCGGUGGAAUGCGCAGAUAUCAGGAGGAACACCGGUGGCGAAGGCGGGUCUCUGGGCCGUUACUGACACUGAGGAGCGAAAGCGUGGGGAGCGAACAGG
rnacentral:rRNA from 1 species